ACGAACGCUGGCCGCGUGCUUAACACAUGCAAGUCGAACGGAAAGGCCCUGCUUUUGUGGGGUGCUCGAGUGGCGAACGGGUGAGUAACACGUGAGUAACCUGCCCUUGACUUUGGGAUAACUUCAGGAAACUGGGGCUAAUACCGGAUAGGAGCUCCUGCUGCAUGGUGGGGGUUGGAAAGUUUCGGCGGUUGGGGAUGGACUCGCGGCUUAUCAGCUUGUUGGUGGGGUAGGGGCUUACCAAGGCUUUGACGGGUAGCCGGCCUGAGAGGGUGACCGGCCACAUUGGGACUGAGAUACGGCCCAGACUCCUACGGGAGGCAGCAGUGGGGAAUAGUGCACAAGGGGCGGAAGCCUGAUGCAGCAACGCCGCGUGCGGGAUGACGGCCUGCGGGUUGGAAACCGCUUUCGCCUGUGACGAAGCGUGAGUGACGGUAAUGGGUAAAGAAGCACCGGCUAACUACGUG
rnacentral:rRNA from 1 species